GGGUUGUGAGGUUAAGUGACUAAGCGUACACGGUGGAUGCCUAGGCAGUCAGAGGCGAUGAA
rnacentral:rRNA from 1 species